AAGAGGAAGAGGAGGCAGAGGAAGAGGAAAAGCCGGCCCGGGACUCAGCUCCUUCGCCGGCUGCACACACAGCAGUGCUGGACUCUGCAGCAGCCGCAGCCGCAGGAGGGGAGAGAAGCAGGGAAAGGUCAGACACCAAGUUUAAGCUGGGUGGGGUUGAGGAGGAUCCACAAACAGACUGCUUCUAUCAAUUCCUCGAAAUGAUCUCUCAAUAGACACUUUUCUGAAGAUCCUCUGAAAUUAAUAUAGAAUCUGUUCCCAAACACUGGUGAUUUUAUGAAGCCAAAGGAAAAAUCCAUAUCUUCUAAACAGUGGUAUUAGCUGGAGUCCUAAACACACUCACCAGCAAAGACAGCCCAACUGAACUCAGUAGAAUUUACUUCCAAGCAAACAUGUUUAGGAUUAGAAUGUAAAUCUCAAAUACCACAAUUAAGUUGUAAUGCAGCCUGAAGUUCAAAUCCUAUACACUUACUAGGGAGUAAGACCCAUUGAAAUUCAAUGGAUAUCUGAGUAAACAUGCAUAGGAUUGCACCAAGAAAAUAAAUGGAAUCGCUAAUUUUUGAUUAGGGAACAUAGUGGAAAAUGCAAUCAGCUGUGUAAUUCUACACUACUUAAGGGGGAUAGCGGUAUAAUGUGUCCUUUCCUAUCCUCUCCAACUGUAUUUCAUCCUUCCAGGUUACAUGAAGAGGCUUUCUAAAGUAGGUUAAGUGAUAAACCUGUGUCUAGAUUGUGCCACUUCAGAUGCAAUCAAAUGACAGAAUGCUCUUCCAUACAAAAACAAGAACCCAAAACUUCCCUUCAUACAGAAAGUAUGGUUCUAGUCUAGCCUUCUUUCUUACAGGCCAGUUUCCUAUGUGGACUAUUAUUUGUUUUUGUAUGGUGGAACAGUAAAUCAUAAGCAUCCACCCACAUUCUGAACUGUUACAAUCCAGACACAGUUCCACCAUUAAGAACUAGGCUGUAGAAUUUUAAUACAAUGCUACAAUGAACCCCUCUCUAACAACGUUAAUGUCUGGUUUACUGCAAGUCUUUAAGCUAUAUUGGAUCGUCCAGCCAUUCAAGACCAGUGAAGAGGGUUGUGAAUGGGAGGCAAGGAUUUACUACAGUUCAUUGUUGCAGAAUGAAGCAAAUAAAGAAUAGCUAAACAAGUCCUGGGUGGCAUUAGGUUUCUCUUCUCUCCUUGCCCAUUGCCCUUUCUCCCUCUGGCAGUGAUGCAAAGGACAUCUGGGCAUUCUUGCUCAUCAUCUAUGCAGACCUGAGGAUCCUAGAAGUUCAAGGGCAAUCCACACUUGUGCAGCAAAUGAAUUCCAUCAUCCCCCACCCACGAGCACUGGUGUACCUGCUGCUCUCCUUUUCUUUCAAUUUUCCUAGGACCAGGGUCCCUAUCAGAAAACAACAGAAAGCCUUCUUAAAUGUAACUAUGAGAAAAACAUAUAAUGCAGCUAGUAAUUAUUCUCUUGACUUUGGUCCGAGGCAGGAAUAUCAAAACCAGAUGGAAGAAAAAUCACAUCACAUAUGCACAAAUAGAGGGGGUUUCAGGGAAGCAAAUGGUCUACGACAAUAGAAAGUUUUUCCAAUUACUCCAAAUAAUGAUAAAGGACAGAACACUCGCUACUCCUCUGUAGCACUGAUUGGGAAGACUAAGGCAGGCUUAAGUUAGCAUGCUUCUUUCUUGGGCAAUUCAUAACCAUGAAUUGACACUCCCCUGGAAACAUUCUAUAAGCAACCCACUUUCUCAUACAGAGAAAAGCAGACUCAUAUAUUAGUUACAGCCCAAUCCUGUGCAUGUUUUCUCAAAGCAAAUCCCACUGUGGAGUUAACUCCCAAGAAAGUGUGCCUAGAUCACAACCUUAAAGUUUAGUGGUCAGAGCAAAACAAGGACACCUCAAGAUACCAACUUACCAGUUAGAGGGAGAAAAAAAGCCAGGUAGUUCCAACUGCUCAGUUGUCAUACAACUGUAUUAACAACUUGCAGUGACAAUCACAGUAGAUUUAAGCUGGACAACUGAAAAGGGUUAUUAGAGCUUUAGAGGUCUGAUUAUAGGGCUGCCACUUAAAACUUAUUUUUCACUUUUCAAAUGGAUACUUGCACUCAUUUUGACUCAUAAUUGUAAAAAAAAAAUCAGUUAUAGCAAACAUAAUUUAUUUAAGGUGUUAAAUACUAACAGCACAAUCUGUGGGACAAUGAAACCAAAGGGCUUGGAGUUAAGAUGAUCUUGUCAUACUUACAUGGAACUAAUUCCUACUGAAACUCAUGAGGCUUAUUUCCACAUAAUGACUGCAAUCCAAUGAAUCCCUAAUUGGCAUUUGGGUUUAAAUACUCCCCCCACUCUUGUCUCAGUAUCCCGUCUUGUCAUUUCUCUCUUCGUUAAUUGACAACCUAAGGGAAUGUGGGGAUUCCUUGGAUCACAGCAAAUAUGCUUAGGAUUGAGAUGCCAGAAGAACUGAGAUCGAUGGGGUAGGCUCAUGCUUUGGCUUAAUUUCACUGUACACUGGAAUGUAAGGCCUUCCAUUUAACAUGCAUAGAGUUUACUCCGAUAAGACUAGGCAUGCAUUUAAACCCAUAGUUUUAAUAGAGGAGUAAAUACUGGGUAAAAUCUAUUUCUUAUUUGUAUCAGGUUGAAUUUUCACCUGAAGGCCUUACCCCAUGUUUAGUGUCAUGGACAGAGUGAUCUUUGCUGCAAAUUGUAAACUACUUUUCAUACUACCUAAAUCCCUUUAAAAAUGUUUUUGUCAGUGGUGAGUUUAUGAGACCAAACACUUUUCAAUAGACUGGUACUUUUGCCUUUAACUACAAGCUAUGGUUUCAAGUUGUUGUUCUGCCUCAGCAGCCAUGGCUGCUGCCUGCAACUGUUCCGUUUCACUUUGGAGUGCACUCGUCGUGGUUACCUGUUUCCUUUCACUGUGCAUAUUGUUCUCAUGUCUUUUUAAAUCAGAUGCUUUGGCAAAUGCUUUAGUACAAGAGCUGCAGACAAAAG